CCUACGGGAGGCAGCAGUGGGGAAUAUUGGACAAUGGGCGAAAGCCUGAUCCAGCAAUGCCGCGUGAGUGAUGAAGGCCUUAGGGUUGUAAAGCUCCUUUACCAGGGAUGAUAAUGACAGUACCUGGAGAAUAAGCUCCGGCUAACUCCGUGCCAGCAGCCGCGGUAAUACGGAGGGAGCUAGCGUUGUUCGGAAUUACUGGGCGUAAAGCGUACGUAGGCGGUUAUUCAAGUCAGAGGUGAAAGCCUGGAGCUCAACUCCAGAACUGCCUUUGAAACUAGAUAGCUAGAAUCUUGGAGAGGUGAGUGGAAUUCCGAGUGUAGAGGUGAAAUUCGUAGAUAUUCGGAAGAACACCAGUGGCGAAGGCGACUCACUGGACAAGUAUUGACGCUGAGGUACGAAAGCGUGGGGAGCAAACAGGAUUAGAUACCCUGGUAGUCCACGCCGUAAACGAUGAUAACUAGCUGUUCGGGCUCUACGAGCUUGAGUGGCGCAGCUAACGCAUUAAGUUAUCCGCCUGGGGAUACGGUCGCAAGAUUAAAACUCAAAGGAAUUGACGG
rnacentral:rRNA from 1 species